rnacentral:lncRNA from 1 species
UUUCUAUUCUGUAAGUCUAAGGGUAAAACUUCAAGUAUUAAGAUAAUUUGUACAUGUAGAGAAAAAAAUGACUUUUUCAUAAUAUACAGGGGCAGCUGCCAAAUUGAUGUAUUAUAAUAUUGUGGUUUCUGUUUCUUGAGAAAAAUUUUUUGUUAUUUUUACAUCUAACAGAGGAAAAAAAAUUUAAAAAGAGGGUAAGAAAUGACUCCAGUGGGGUGAUUUUAACAUGCAAAUGUCUGAGAUUUCUUCACUUGCUUUCUUCCUUACUCUGCCCCACACACGUACACUUUCUGUAAAACUUGAAAAUAGAAAGCAAAAACCCUCAACUGUUGUAAAUCAUGCAAUUAAGGUUGAUUACUUAUAAAUAUGAACUUUGGAUCACUGUAUAGACUGUUAAAUUUGAUUUCUUAUUACCUAUUGUUAAAUAAACUGUGUGAGACAG